rnacentral:lncRNA from 1 species
GUUAGUGACAGCUGGCCUGCCACAGCACCUCUUUGUUGCUUCAUCUGUGACCGAAGAGGACGAGUGAGGAGUAGGACCCUUGCGAAGGUUUUAGAUGCAAGCUUAGGAGGAUGAGGGGCGCUGUCCGAGGUCUGAGAGGCAGCCCGCACCCUUUGCCUCUGAAAUAACUACUUUUUGGAGGUGCCAGAGGAGAGAAUCGGUGGAGCGCCCUCCUGGAGUGGGAUCACAGCACCACCCAAGCCUAGAAUCGUCAUCUUCUGGCCUACAGCACCCAGUAUUCCCAGGCAGUCUUCCAUCUAAGGACUAACCAGGCUUUAUCUUGCUUAGCUUCCAAGGCCAGGGCUCUGCUUGCUCCAUUGGUUGCCAAAUCCACAUCUGGAUUUUCCUGUUCACUGGGCCCGUUUCGACUCAUGAUUUGCUUUGGACUUUCCACUUGGUUCUAUGCAUUGCUCUCUGUGAUGAUCCUGGUGGUUCAGCCUCUGCAUUUUGACACAGAAAGCCCCUGGUAGCAGUAUGGAUGGCCAUGUUGGCCUGGACCUGAAGAACACUGAAUCUCACCCACCAGGAACUGGACUCCCAAACUCCUGGCUGCUGACUCCAGGAAUUCCUAUAGCUAUAAAUGUCUACAUUGUUUUAUUUUGAUUCCACUUUGUUUAUUUGGAUCUGUGUAUCUGCCUCUGAACUCUGUAUCUUGUAUCUUUUAUUUUUAUUUUAUU